AUUGAACGCUGGCGGCAUGCCUUACACAUGCAAGUCGAACGGCAGCGGGGGAGAAGCUUGCUUUUCCUGCCGGCGAGUGGCGAACGGGUGAGUAAUACAUCGGAACGUGCCCUGUAGUGGGGGAUAACUAGUCGAAAGAUUAGCUAAUACCGCAUACGACCUGAGGGUGAAAGUGGGGGACCGCAAGGCCUCAUGCUAUAGGAGCGGCCGAUGUCUGAUUAGCUAGUUGGUGGGGUAAAGGCCUACCAAGGCGACGAUCAGUAGCUGGUCUGAGAGGACGAUCGGCCAAACUGGGACUGAGACACGGCCCAGACUCCUACGGGAGGCAACAGUGGGGAAUUUUGGACAAUGGGCGAAAGCCUGAUCCAGCAAUGCCGCGUGUGUGAAGAAGGCCUUCGGGUUGUAAAGCACUUUUGUCCGGAAAGAAAUGGCUCUGGUUAAUACCUGGGGUCGAUGACGGUACCGGAAGAAUAAGGACCGGCUAACUACGUGCCAGCCGCCGCAGUAA
rnacentral:rRNA from 1 species